rnacentral:rRNA from 1 species
UACGUAGGGUGCGAGCGUUGUCCGGAAUUAUUGGGCGUAAAGAGCUCGUAGGCGGUUUGUCGCGUCUGCUGUGAAAUCCCGAGGCUCAACCUCGGGCCUGCAGUGGGUACGGGCAGACUGGAGUGCGGUAGGGGAGAAUGGAAUUCCUGGUGUAGCGGUGGAAUGCGCAGAUAUCAGGAGGAACACCGAUGGCGAAGGCAGUUCUCUGGGCCGUAACUGACGCUGAGGAGCGAAAGCGUGGGGAGCGAACGGG